GAUGAACGCUGGCGGCGUGCCUAAUACAUGCAAGUCGAACGCACAGCGAAAGGUGCUUGCACCUUUCAAGUGAGUGGCGAACGGGUGAGUAACACGUGGACAACCUGCCUCAAGGCUGGGGGAUAACAUUUGGAAACCAGAUGCUAAUACCGAAUAAAACCUCAGUGUCGCAUGACACAAAGUUAAAAACGGCGCUUUGGCGUCACCUAGAGAUGGAUCCGCGGUG
rnacentral:rRNA from 1 species